rnacentral:rRNA from 1 species
AGUGAACGCUGGCGAUAGGCCUAACACAUGCAAGUCGAACGGCAGCACAGUAAGAGCUUGCUCUUACGGGUGGCGAGUGGCGGGCGGGUGAGGAAUACAUCGGAAUCUACUUUUUCGUGGGGGAAAACGUAGGGAAACUUACGCUAAUACCGCAUACGACCUACGGGUGAGAGCAGGGGAUCUUCGGACCUUGCGCGAUUGAAUGAGCCGAUGUCGGAUUAGCUAGUUGGCGGGGUAAAGGCCCACCAAGGCGACGAUCCGUAGCUGGUCUGAGAGGAUGAUCAGCCACACUGGAACUGAGACACGGUCCAGACUCCUACGGGAGGCAGCAGUGGGGAAUAUUGGACAAUGGGCGCAAGCCUGAUCCAGCCAUACCGCGUGGGUGAAGAAGGCCUUCGGGUUGUAAAGCCCUUUUGUUGGGAAAGAAAAGCAGCAGGUUAAUACCCCGCUGUUCUGACGGUACCCAAAGAAUAAGCACCGGCUAACUUCGUG